CGCCGUGGGCAGACGCGCUCGGCGAGCUCCGGCGGCCCCUCCGCGGCCAUGCGGCUCUUCGGCGGCGCGUCCUGCGCGCUGCUGCUACUCCUGCUCGCCCCCGGCUCCCGAAAUGAAGACAUGAACAGCACUGCACCUUUUACUACGAUUUCAGGCCAGAGGUUGCCAGACAAUAGCAGUUCUUCCAAUGUCACUUCUGUGUCAUCCACACAAUCUGCAGCAACAUCUGCAGGAGAGGAACUGAAUUUCCUAAUUGUAACAAGGUGUGUCCACCAGUACUACUCAUCUGACCAGUACCACUCAGCCCACUGUCACCAAUAUGUCUGUCAGCUUGACGACUCAGCCCACCAAAACCAGCCAGACAAUAAGAUCCACCACAGCUUCAUCAGUCACAUCAUCACAACUCUAUAUUACAGUGGUGACCACUUCCAAGAUUUCUUCCACUUCUGUAACAGCCACAUCAAAAUCUGAGGCUUCAUCCAGGUUCGAUGUGGGCAGUUUUGUUGGUGGCAUUGUGCUGACUCUUGGAGUCCUAGUUAUUCUCUACAUCGGAUGCAAAACCUAUCACUCUAGAAGAGGCAUUCAGUACAGAACCAUUGAUGAACAUGAUGCCAUCAUUUAAAGAGACUUCAGGGAAGACAGUGUUGGAAACCCACCCUGUCACAGCUGUUGUAACUUGCUUCUGAAAGAGUUUCUUUCAUAAAGAUGAUCACAGUCUCUAAACCUGUGGGUGUUACCCUUCAAAAUGUUGAGAAGUUUUUUUAAACAUCCUGAUUUUUUACAUUGGCUUUCGUAAGAGUAAGAGGAACUCAGCACUUUGUAGAGACAGUAUUUUCUUAUUCCAGUAUUUGUAGCCAGAUUUAACAAAAUCACAUACUGAGUCAUUUUAAGGUACACACACAGGUCUCUGAAAUAUCUAAUUACUAGCACAGGUGAUUACAUCAUUGCAAUUCUAAGUAAGUUCAGGUGGGUUUUUUUCUAAAAUUUUGUAUUAAAUUGUAUUUAUUUUGAAGUUUGAUGUGAACUUUAGUUUAGAAAUUUUGGAUUUUGAACAACUCAGUUAAUUUUUAAUAGAGUAUAAAGGGGUGUGUUUAGGUAACUGUAUAGAAGGUGUGAUGAGUACUUUAAGUGUCAGUCAUUAGCUCGCCAGUGCCUUGCAGAUACUUUCCUUAAUAGGCUGUACAAUGAGACAAGCUGCAGGAAGCAUGGACAGACUGGAGAUAUCCAUCCAUGACCGUUUUCUCUAAAAACUGCUUUUUUCUAGCAUGUCCUAAUGAAGCUUGUGCAAUUGAAGAUAAAAUAAGAAUGCAGAAAAGUAAUUGUGCCAUCAUAAAUUAAAAAAAAACCAAAAAUUGUUUCUCAAAAUUGGCUUUUAAGUUGAACGUAGCAAUCAUUUGGCUCUUGAUCUUUAUUAUUACAAAACUGUAUGCAGUGUUUUAGUAGCAUUUGAUAAUCACUGAAACUUACAUACAGAAGGAGAAAACUAUAAUAUAGCAUUUUAGAAAACUAAAAACUGCAUUUUUACAACUGCGUUCAGAACUUGGUACUGCUGGCACAUGUGUACAGAGAUCUGGUCAAAAGUCCAACUGAAGAUAAUGGGCCAUCUCUCAGAAGACCUUUAGAUUAAGGUCCAAAUGCACUGGGGGUCCUGUGCAGGAUGGCUGGUGCUGCUCCCACAUCACUUCUGCAGUCACACUGAGGUAAAUCCGCCGACUUCAGUAGGUGGGCUCCUGAUUUACACUGGUGUAAGGAAAACUAGAACAAGGACCAGGAAACACAGGCUUGCAUUUCCUUAUGUCACUGAGUAAUUGUUCAGUCUUGCUCAGACUCCACUUGUAGACCCCUUCCUGGUGAAAGGGUUGGUGUGGUGGGGUUUGACCGUCCUGGUUGCUGGCACCAGUCCCUCAUGCAGGGCACAGAGGGGUGGUGGUGACAGGUGAGGAAGAUCACAAUGGGAACUGCAUCUAAGUCUGUCAUGGGGCUGGGGAACAAUGCAUCAGGGGAAAUAUGAGUACAGCUCUGGAAUAGGUUAAUUUUUUUGUUAAGCAGUAGUUUAUUCUUAUAUGCAAUGUUAAAGUGACCAUAUGGAUAUUUUUUCCUUUUUUACUACUCCAUGUGAAAAACCAUGGCUAUGAGUCAUGUCACUAGCACCAGCUACACCCCUGAAAAAGGGGGUACAGGGCUGUUUCAUUUUUUUACCAAGACUGAGGUACAGGGGGAGAGAAAGAGUGAUUUGAAGUAACUUUUGUAGUUUUUAUUAAUUGUGGUGUUUGGUGGAAAAUUACUGGAUUUGACUUGAAGAGUUAGAGAAAAAAUUCUUUCACAGAACUGUAAUUCCUUACUUUGUAGAAAUUAAGACAAUUAAGUGCAACUCAAUUACUGGGAUUGUCUCACCUCUGUUAUACAGACGAAUAAAUAAAAUUAAAUCUUUGCAAUUACUACAUCAA